AGCUGGGCUUAGAGGACUCAGUGUAAAGGGAAGGCUUAGGCUCUGACGGUGCUGGAGAGUUAAGAAUGUGCCUUCCCUCCACCCCCACCCCAGGCACCUUAUUUAAAAAAAAACAAAAAACACCUUCUUUUAUUUAAAAAAAAAAAUCUAACCUUGGAAGUUUGCUCGAUUUAUCUCAAAAUCCCAGUCACAUUACUUCCUGAGAACAAAAGGUCUGCUGAAGUUGCCUGAUGAAAAGUCCAGCCUUCCAGAAUCUUCCAUUCUACAAGUGCUACCUACAGUGACUCUGAGAGAUGGGAAUGAUGAAAACCUGGGGAUGGGGAGCCAGACCUUGCCUGGUGGAUGGGCGGUAGUCUGUGAACUCUAUUGUGGGGUGCUGGGUUACAGGAAGUGGCCUUGAGCAAUGUGGCCAAGUUGGGACUUAGAAGGCAGCAUGUGAGGGGCCUGAAUUCUGGACAGUGACCUCUUCAGUCUUCACCAGAACUGCACAGAUAUCCUUGCCAAGCUUGCUUACCAGCUGUGGACGUGCUCGAUUCUGGAGCUCAUGCCCCUCCAGGCCAUGGCCCAUCUCCAUGUGGAGCUGAAGAUCCUUCCUCCUGGAGCCCUCUUCUUGGUGUUUGUCUUACUUCACAUCCAAUGGAGCUCAUUCUUAGACAUGAAAGCCCAAGACAACAUAUCUGAAGACAGUCUUUUCUUACCAAGCAUAAAAACUCCAUUUCUUCACCUUGGCUUGGUGGAGGAGUUUCUGUGGCUGUGGCCACCCUAGCCCCCUCUGGACAAGCUGCCCUCUCUCCAGCUUCGUAGGGCAGUGUGCACAACACACCAGAAGUUCAGGAACAGUCUGCUCCAGCACAUGAGACCCUCACUCCACCAAUGCAACCAGAAGUUGAUUUAAUCUGAUUUAAAUUUUUGGCAAGCACAUCAUUUCUAAUUGUACUACACUUACCAUUGGUUAAAAUGCUUUCUUUUAUAUUGAUGAUUGUAUGGAAGCACAUGGUCUUAAAGUCACCCAGACAGCCCAAGAGAAUGAAUCUGUUUACAAAUAGUAUCACUGCAGGCUGGACAUGAAAAUGAGACCCCCAUCAAGACGCACUAAUACCUGUAAUUUAUGGGGAUUCAAGGUCACCAGUGGCUCCCACAGGCUGGUGACAAUGAACUUCGCUCUGAGGGGGGGGGGCAUAUCCUCAGCCAGCUCCUCCCACUGCAAUCUCCUUCCACUCCAUGAGUCAAAUCUGCCCAGCUGUGAUGUACCUCUUUGUGUCUUUGCAAGCUGUUCCUGCCAUGGAAAGCCCCUGGCAACCACUCACCUGCUUUCUGUCUGUGUGGAUUGACCUGUUCUGGAUAUUUCCUGCAAAAGGAAUGCUGAAUUUUAGUACCGGGCUUCUUUUCCUUCCUGUAAUGUUUUUGGAAUCCAUCCACAUUGUUGAGUGUAUCAGUGUAUCAGUACUUCACUUAUUGUACAGCUGAGUAAUUCCAUGGCACUUGUCCCUGGUUUUGUAAGUAAGGUUUUCCUGGACAAAGCUGUCCCCAUUACUUUACAUACUGUCUACCACUGCUUUUGCAUUUAAUGGCAGACCUGGGUAGUUGUCAAAGAGAACAUGCAGCCUGCAAAGACUUAAGUCUGUACUGUCUAGCCCUUUACUGAGAAGAAUUGCAGAUCUUUGCUAUAGUAAUAAUUUUGGGGAACUUUGUCAUGAUGCUGUGCAUGGAAAUUCUAAAGUUUCAAUAGGAUUUAUUUAUUUUUUAUCAUGAUAUAAUUUUAAGGUUCAGCUGAAGGAAGAAAGGUUACACAACUUUUGGAAAGGGAGAGUUGUUAGAGGUACCUGCCCUCCAGGAUUGUGCAGUACAGCCUGGACUGUCCUGGCUCAAGGAGGUGGAACUCAUGCAGGAGUAGACAGACCAUAGACAGGACUGGGAAGAUAGGGAAGGGACCCAUAACAGAUGUGGAAGAAAUCUGGCCAGACUGGAAGGACGCUGGACAAUUGGGAGUGACACCAGCCAUGUGGAAGAUGGGUUGCUGGAUCUGCCUCUACUCUGAAGUGAAUUCCAGAGGAAUAAAAUACUUCAGUGUGUAACAAAGGAGUUGCACAUACCAGGAGAAAAUAUUGACAUCCAUCUUACUAAUCUUGUAGGAGAAAAAUUCUUUUAAGCUUCACAGAAAAAGGCAAUGCAAAGCAAAAAAUUGAUCAAUGUGGCUUUUCAAUAAAGUGGCCUAAAAUGUAAAACUUGUCCAUGGCAAAAGCACUGUAAGUAAAACUUAUAGGAUGGAACCAGAUUAACCUGGGAAAAGUAUUGUUUUGUUAUAGAUAAAGAGUUACUGAGUCCAAUAAUAUAAUUUAUUUGUCUCUUGCAAAUGAAUGAGAAUCUGAAGAGUGCACAAUAAAUAAGGGAGAAACAUGGUACAAACCGGGACAAAGGCAACUCACCAGCAAGUGCACUAUGGUGGGUGUUCAACCUUGUAAAUAAUUGGUCUAAAUUUUAUUGAUGUAAAUUUACACAUGUCUUUUUUUGUUGUUUGUUUGAGUGACAAGGUGAAAAAAAUUGAGAAACCCCAGUGACAAUAAGGUUGUGGGAAAAGUGGCUUUUAAGACUCGGUUGCAGUAACUCUGUUUGUAGGGAAAUCUGAUUUCAGAUCAUAGUUUGAACUGCACAGGCCUUUUUUUGGUAUCGGGGAUUGAACUUGGACCUUGCACUUGGGAAGCAGAUGCGGAGCCACUGAGCUAAAUCCUUGGCCCUACACAGGCCUUUUGAUCCUGCAUCAUUGUGCCUUGGGCCUUCAUUUUUAGAAACUAAGUUUUCUUUCAGCUGUGAAAAGCUAGAAACUAUCUUGUCUCAAUGUUCAUCAGUAGAUUUGAUAAAAGAAUGUGUUGGACAUCCCUAUAAUGGGUCCCAAGGAGCCACUGAAAAUGAGGCAGAAUUUCCAACAGUCCUAUCUAUUGUAAGUGUCCUCCUUGUUCUUUACCAAUCUUGGGAUUUUGCUUGGCUUCCUCUUUAAUUGAGAAACAUUUUCCCCUGGAUUCAUUAAGGUGCAAACUUAGUGAAAAUGAUGGACAUUUGGAGAUUUUACUUAUUUAUUUUUACUAGCUAAUGAUUUUACAGGUAUUACACUUAACACUAUAGUAAUAAAGACUUCACACAAAUCCAUGCUUCAUAGCCAUGGACUUAAGCUCGUGAGUGUAUGUGUUGUGUGUGCAUGCAUAUGUGCAUCAGCAUGCUUGUGUACCCGUGUGUGUCUGUGUGUGCACAUGUGCACAUGUGUCUGGUUGUUUGUGUGUGAUCCUGGAGUGCCAGCAUCCAGCUGAGUAUGCAGCCAGCUGGAGGACUUGCUCUGGUUCUCUUUUAAGACAGUCUCAGGGGAUUAAUAAAGCAAGUAAGGAUAUAAUCUGUCUCCUCCAGGAGAAGACCUUUCUGCCCGUAGGAUCCCUUGUUUUUUGAAUACAGCAGUGUGGAAUGUGGAUGCCAAGGGAAAAUUUGUUAUUUGGAGACAAACCUUACAGUGUGACUCAACCCUUUGGAAAUCCCUGUGCACCUUUCCCUCUGUUCCUGGUAACUUAUUGGCCUCUUCCACCUCUGGCUUCUAUUGCUCCUGCUGACUGUCCCUGCCUGCCUGCUGCUGCACUUUACCUCCAUCCUCCUUCCAUCCUGAGUCUCUGGCACAGAAGGCAGCAUGUGUCCCCUUCUGUCUCACAGACACAGAAGCUAUUAAAGCAUAGGUUACCUAGAGCAGUGGUUCCCAAACUUUUUCUGAUCACCCUUAUUACUAAAAUAUUUUGGCAUGAACACCCAAGGCAUACAUACCUAUAUAUUGUAUGUUCCCACUAUUGUGUGAAUUUAUUGUAUACAUUAUGCAAUAUAUAAAAAGGUGAAAGUUUAAAAGGAUGAGAUUUUAAAAAAGAUAAAAAUUCGAAUCUUUUCUCCAUGUACUUAACAAAGCUCCUUUGGUGGCUGAUAGACCAGAGAUGGGAAGGACAUUGGAAGGCUCCCUUUAGGGGGCUCAAUGGCACUGCAAACUCUGUCCUCCCCAAGGGCCAGGAUUCCUUCCCCAGCAGUUGGCCCAGGUCCUGCUGUCCACUGUGCACCAUAGGUGUGGCUGCAAAUGACCAGAAGUCUUUUCUGCUGCACUUUCUUUCCUGGCCUCUGCUCAUUCACACACUUCCUGCUACUCUCUGAGUUGCCUUUGGGUCCACUGUCUCCUGGUGAGGACUUGCCUGGCUCACCAAAUCCUAAGUCACACACACAGGUCCAACCCCUGUGUCUCCCGGAUGGGCCGAGGCCACAGCCUCAGCCAUUUUAAACUUGGGGUUCUCCCCACAGCUGUACACACAAUGGCUGCUCAUCACUAAGGACCUUGGUCAUGAACACCUGUUCUGAGGUCUCAUGUAGUUUACCAACUCUUAAAUGGCACAGAGAAGCAAAGAUGCUGCAUACCACAUGUGUGGGAGAGAAAAGUCCAUCCCUGAUGGGUGGCCUCAAGAUACCAGUUACAUGGGGACAGAGAGUUUGCAACCAGUCCAAAGUCUGACACCAAGAGCAGUGCCCGGCCCCGGAACAGUUUUUUUGGAGGAGUGAAUGACUUGGAUCAGUACACUCAGGACCUCUGCCAUGCUUGCUUCCGUGUGGGGUAUGAAGAAACAUUAUAAUGCACAUCAGGGAGAUUUUUCCUCCAAACUGGGAGACAAAAUGUA
rnacentral:lncRNA from 1 species